rnacentral:rRNA from 1 species
CUUCGGGGGCAGCGGCGGACGGGUGAGUAACGCGUGGGAACGUGCCCUUUGGUACGGAACAACUGAGGGAAACUUCAGCUAAUACCGUAUGUGCCCUUCGGGGGAAAGAUUUAUCGCCAUUGGAGCGGCCCGCGUUGGAUUAGCUAGUUGGUGGGGUAAAGGCCCACCAAGGCUACGAUCCAUAGCUGGUCUGAGAGGAUGACCAGCCACACUGGGACUGAGACACGGCCCAGACUCCUACGGGAGGCAGCAGUAGGGAAUCUUGCGCAAUGGGCGAAAGCCUGACGCAGCCAUGCCGCGUGAAUGAUGAAGGUCUUAGGAUUGUAAAAUUCUUUCACCGGGGACGAUAAUGACGGUACCCGGAGAAGAAGCCCCGGCUAACUUCGUGCCAGCAGCCGCGGUAAU